rnacentral:rRNA from 1 species
GAUGAACGCUGGCGGCGUGCUUAACACAUGCAAGUCGAACGGUGAAGGCGGAGCUUGCUCUGCUGGAUCAGUGGCGAACGGGUGAGUAACACGUGAGCAAUCUGCCCCUGACUCUGGGAUAAGCACUGGAAACGGCGUCUAAUACUGGAUACGAGCUGCGAAGGCAUCUUCAGCAGCUGGAAAGAACUUCGGUCAGGGAUGAGCUCGCGGCCUAUCAGCUUGUUGGUGAGGUAACGGCUCACCAAGGCGUCGACGGGUAGCCGGCCUGAGAGGAUGACCGGCCACACUGGGACUGAGACACGGCCCAGACUCCUACGGGAGGCAGCAGUGGGGAAUAUUGCACAAUGGGCGAAAGCCUGAUGCAGCAACGCCGCGUGAGGGACGACGGCCUUCGGGUUGUAAACCUCUUUUAGCAGGGAAGAAGCGAAAGUGACGGUACCUGCAGAAAAAGCGCCGGCUAACUACGUG